ACAGCCCGGGGGGGGCGGGGGGGGGGGGCGGGUCGCGGCCGCUCGGCCCCAUCGCCCGCCCCGGCCCGGGAGCGGCCCCGGCCCCGGCCCCGCCGGCGGGCACGGCACGGCAGGGCACGGCAGGGCGGGGGGCUCGCCAGGAGCCCCCGCCGGUGCCCGCACCCGGUCAUGGCGCCACGGGUGGCCGGUCCGGGCGAGCGGCUGGAGGAGCCCGCGGCCCGCGCGUAGGCCUCUCCUGCCGGGACCCAGCGCCUCGGGCUCCGGGAGGCGAGGGCUGCGGCCCCGGCUCGGCCUCGCAGCGGGCGGGUGGCACUGCCCCGGGGGUGCCCCCCUCCCCGUGCCCGGCCGGUUUAACGCCGCUGGCUGCGGCCUAACGGGGCGGCGGAGCCCGGGCCGCGGCCAGCCCGGGCCAGGCCUGCCGUCUGGGCGGGAAGGAAGAAGGGCAGCUGCAGCCGGGGGGCGGCUGAGACCCUCGCCCGGCAGCGGAGCAUCCGCCGUGACAGGAGGGCGGGCGGGAGCGCGGUGGCAGCAGCUGGACAAACGCGGUGGCACAGCCCUCUCUGCUCUGACAGCCGGUGACUUUGUGCUCUUUGCGUGACCCCGGCCUCCCCGGCCGGGGGGGGAGGCUCCGUCAAACGGCGACUUUUCCCACCUUCGUACUUCUCUCAAAAGGAGGAGAAGCAUCUUGCUUAGGUUUCUGAGCCAACAGACCUUGAUCCACCCAGCAGCCCUCACUCCAGCUGAACCUCCAGCCCUGUCUGCCUCCUACAACCUGAUGCCGUUCACCUACCCCCUUAGCAGUGACGUUAAACACAAACCCGCACUCGGCCACCAAUUAGCUAAUUAGUCCAACAUGAUUGUGCUGAGAUCUUUGCAGGGGCGUCGCGGCUCCCUAAGGCCACAGAUACAUCAAGCACGUCUCCUGCUAGCGAAAAAGCUAAUAAAGCUACACGGUUGCAUCUUUGAAUAAAAGUUACUUUGCCGUUUUUAGGAAA